GAGUUUGAUCGUGGCUCAGAAUGAACGCUGGCGGCAUGCCUAACACAUGCAAGUCGAACGAAGGCUUCGGCCUUAGUGGCGCACGGGUGCGUAACGCGUGGGAAUCUGCCCUUGGGUUCGGAAUAACAGUUAGAAAUGACUGCUAAUACCGGAUGAUGUCGUAAGACCAAAGAUUUAUCGCCCAAGGAUGAGCCCGCGUAGGAUUAGCUAGUUGGUGGGGUAAAGGCCCACCAAGGCGACGAUCCUUAGCUGGUCUGAGAGGAUGAUCAGCCACACUGGGACUGAGACACGGCCCAGACUCCUACGGGAGGCAGCAGUGGGGAAUAUUGGACAAUGGGCGAAAGCCUGAUCCAGCAAUGCCGCGUGAGUGAUGAAGGCCUUAGGGUUGUAAAGCUCUUUUACCCGGAUGAUAAUGACAGUACCGGGAGAAUAAGCUCCGGCUAACUUCGUGCCAGCAGCCGCAGUAAUACCUGAGACCGUC
rnacentral:rRNA from 1 species